rnacentral:tRNA from 1 species
GUGGCGGGCUUGCCUCGCCAAAGUAUUAGUGGCGGGCACUUGAAUGGGGUUCAAGAGGUCCGCGGUUCAAGUCCGCGCGCCCCG